rnacentral:lncRNA from 1 species
UUUGAUCAAUGCCUAACUAAUGUUCUUUUUAAUCAAAUUCCAUGAAAAGUAGGACUGGAAGUGUCACAUGGCAGUGAAAUUGUCUAUAUCAAAUCACCUGACAUACCUUGGACAAAACGUUCAUAUCAUUAUUGAAAAUGCCAAUAUUUCAGAUGUGUAUGUUUAAUAAAGCUUAUGUGGCUCAAAAGGAAUAUCUGUAUAGAUCGCAAUCAAAAGACAAAUCCAAGAAGCAACAAUGUGAGAUAACUGAAUAGCAAAGGAAGAUGACAGCAUUCAGAGCAAAGACAAGAUAGGAGAGAAAAUCAGAAAUAUGUGAGUUUUUUUUUUUAAACUUCCAUACACCCUUUGAUGAAAGACAAUAAUUGAACAUUCCCUGUGAUUUAAAGUCCUCCCACACACUGGCAAUACACCGAUGCAAGGAAGUAGAAUGGAGUGCUAACUAUCCCUCUGGGAUACUAAAUGUAUCAAUCACUGAUUCUGCUUUUGCAAUAUAACUCUGACAUUUUCAUCAUAAAAUGAAAACACAAACGUAAUCACAAGAGAGAUAUUUGAAAAGAGAUGAAAAGGACAAAAUAAAGUUACCUAUCUGUCCACAACUCUUCUGUAGCAGUAGUCAUAUAUUCUAUGUAUGUUAAAUCAGUAUAAUUGUAAAAUGAAUUCUCUUUGAAUUAAAAAUUGUCAUUGCAAAAAGAUGACUAAGAGGUUAUUGACUUGCUAUGAACUAUAUGUGUGUGUAAGGAAUGUAUUUGGCAAAACCCACAGUUAUUGGUGCUCAUGUACUUCACAUGGAAAAUUGAGAAUUGAGAGAUAUACAAUAAUUGAACAUUCCCUGUGAUUUAAAGUCCUCCCACACACAUUUAAUAGGCAUUGCAGUUUAUGUAAACAGUAAAUGUCAUAUUGAAAAUGACAAAAACACAGAAUAAUUUCUGCAGUGAGAAAAUAUUCUGAGAAUAUUCAUGGGACAUAUUUUCAUACCUGGGAUUCUUUGGGCAAUCAAAAUUCUGCCACAGUUGGAGAAUAAGCCUUGAUUUUGCAUUGACUGGUCAAUGAGAGCAUAAAUUUCAUAGGCUUUGAAAUUAGUUUGGGAAAUCUCUAUUCGUUUGGGAAAGUUUCAUUGGCAUCAGAAUGAGCCCUUGAACUUGAAAUAUGUGAUAGAGUUCCCAUCUUGCGGUGUCCUGGAAAAAUAUACAGAGUGGAAACAGUGUGCCUUCCAACUGAGUGCUGUUCCUCUCAACAACUUCCUAGUGAAACCAGAACACGUCACAGAAAGACAAAAUGUUAGUGUUUAGAGGAAGAAAAUGAUACAGAGCAGAAAAAGUAAGAAUUGAAAAGGAUUCAAGAGAGAGAAACCAAGGGAAACUAAGUACAUGAUAUGAAACUCUAUAUGUUGAAAAUUAGAGAAAGUUAGCGAUUCAGGAGUACAAAACAAAGAAAGGUGUAUGAAUUAGCAACAGGGAAUCUCAAGGCCUCACGAAAUCAAUUGUGUAAAAGAGAUUUGUGAGUUAACAUAUUUCCAAAAGAUUUAGCUUUUUCCCCUGAGGAUUUCCUGAAACAUAAAAUGAGGAGAUCAAAGAAAAUAUAAUGCGUAAAUACAAAUAAAAUGUGAAAUGAAUACAAAAUUGAUGUUUAAAAUAAAAUUAAACUUUUCAGAAUGCAGAUGAACAUACACUCACACACACACACACAAAUACUUUGCAUUUUGGCACAUACAUAAGUAUGCACGCAUUAAGUAUAGUGUUUGAAGUCUCACUUUUGUCCAUAGUGUGUAUUCUUCCAAAAUGAAAAUUAGCACAAAAUGAGUGUAUUUACUGUUGAGAAAAAGUUUCAGGAAUAUUACUUCUCAUGUUCAACUUUUUUGUUUGUCUGUCUCUUUUUUUUUGGGGGGGGAGCCACACCCAUGGCAUGUGGAGGUUCCCAGGCUAGGGGUUGAAUUGGAUCUGCAGCUGCCAGCCUAUACCACAGACACAGCAAUGCCAGAUCCUUCACCCACUGAGCAGGGCCAGGGAUUGAACACACAUCCUCAUGGAUACUAGUCAGGUUCAUUACCACUGAACCACAAUGGGAACUCCUUCGUGUUCACCUUUUAAAAAUGGUCCUAAACCCUUUUGUCAUUAGUUAGGCUUUUUUUUUAUUUGGUUGUGAUAUUUAAUAAGGUUUUUUUUUUAACCAAUAUGAAUAUACAAUUCUGUAUUGCAAAGGCUAUGUGGUAUAGAAUUUCUACAAAACUAAAUUAGAACAUAUUGAACCACUGCUUUUAGUAGUAUCACAGGGUAAUUUUCUUGUGCUACCCUACUUAGAAAGUUUUCGUCAACUGAUGGAUAUAUAAAAGUGUGUUUUAUAAAUUUAUUUUUUAACUAAUGCCUAAAUUCAGUUCUUCAUAAUAAAAUUCCAUGUAGGGAAGGGAAACAGUGUCUUCAAUGGCAGUAGAUCAGAUCUAAGUCAGAUGUCAUGAAUAUAUUUUGGACAAAACAUUCACAUCAGCCACUCUGAAAAGGCUGGUAUUUCGGAGGUGUAUGAGUUAUAUAAUUAACUUGAUUCAAAAAUGUAUCUGGGAGUUCCCAUUUUGUACAACGGAAAAGAAUCUGACUAGUAUCCAUGAGGACAUGGGUUCGAUCCCUGGCCUCCUUCAGUGAGUUAAGGAUCCAGCAUUGCCAUGAGCUGUAGUGUAGGUCACAGAUGUGGCUCAGAUCUGGC